ACCUGCCCAGAAGCGGGGGAUAACACCUGGAAACAGAUGCUAAUACCGCAUAACAACUUGGACCGCAUGGUCCGAGUUUGAAAGAUGGCUUCGGCUAUCACUUUUGGAUGGUCCCGCGGCGUAUUAGCUAGAUGGUGAGGUAACGGCUCACCAUGGCAAUGAUACGUAGCCGACCUGAGAGGGUAAUCGGCCACAUUGGGACUGAGACACGGCCCAAACUCCUACGGGAGGCAGCAGUAGGGAAUCUUCCACAAUGGACGAAAGUCUGAUGGAGCAACGCCGCGUGAGUGAAGAAGGGUUUCGGCUCGUAAAACUCUGUUGUUAAAGAAGAACGUAUCUGAGAGUAACUGUUCAGGUAUUGACGGUAUUUAACCAGAAAGCCACGGCUAACUACGUGCCAGCAGCCGCGGUAAUACGUAGGUGGCAAGCGUUGUCCGGAUUUAUUGGGCGUAAAGCGAGCGCAGGCGGUUUUUUAAGUCUGAUGUGAAAGCCUUCGGCUCAACCGAAGAAGUGCAUCGGAAACUGGGGAACUUGAGUGCAGAAGAGGACAGUGGAACUCCAUGUGUAGCGGUGAAAUGCGUAGAUAUAUGGAAGAACACCAGUGGCGAAGGCGGCUGUCUGGUCUGUAACUGACGCUGAGGCUCGAAAGUAUGGGUAGCAAACAGGAUUAGAUACCCUGGUAGUCCAUACCGUAAACGAU
rnacentral:rRNA from 1 species